UACGAGGGGGGCAAGCGUUGUUCGGAAUUAUUGGGCGUAAAGGGUGCGUAGGCGGUUUGGUAAGUCUGAUGUGAAAUCUAUGGGCUCAACUCAUAGUCUACAUCGGAAACUGCCGGGCUUGAGUGUGGGAGAGGUGAGUGGAAUUCCUGGUGUAGCGGUGAAAUGCGUAGAUAUCAGGAGGAACACCUGUGGCGAAAGCGGCUCACUGGACCAUAACUGACGCUGAGGCGCGAAAGCUAGGGGAGCAAACAGG
rnacentral:rRNA from 1 species